rnacentral:rRNA from 1 species
UACAGAGGUCUCAAGCGUUGUUCGGAUUCAUUGGGCGUAAAGGGUGUGUAGGUGGCGCCGUAAGUCGGGUGUGAAAUUUCGGAGCUUAACUCCGAGACUGCAUUCGAUACUGCGGUGCUUGAGGACUGGAGAGGAGACUGGAAUUCAUGGUGUAGCAGUGAAAUGCGUAGAUAUCAUAAGGAAGACCAGUGGCGAAGGCGGGUCUCUGGACAGUUCCUGACGCUGAGGCACGAAGGUCAGGGGAGCAAACGGG